rnacentral:rRNA from 1 species
CCUACGGGAGGCAGCAGUAGGGAAUAUUGCUCAAUGGGGGAAACCCUGAAGCAGCAACGCCGCGUGGAGGAUGAAGGUUUUCGGAUUGUAAACUCCUUUUGUUAGAGAAGAUAAUGACGGUAUCUAACGAAUAAGCCCCGGCUAACUCCGUGCCAGCAGCCGCGGUCAUACGGAGGGUGCAAGCGUUACUCGGAAUCACUGGGCGUAAAGAGCGCGUAGGCGGGAUAGCAAGUCAGAUGUGAAAUCCUAUGGCUUAACCAUAGAACUGCAUUUGAAACUGUUAUUCUAGAGUAUGGGAGAGGUAGGUGGAAUUCUUGGUGUAGCGGUAAAAUCCGUAGAGAUCAAGAGGAAUACUCAUUGCGAAGGCGACCUGCUAGAACAUAACUGACGCUGAUGCGCGAAAGCGUGGGGAGCAAACAGGAUUAGAUACCCCAGUAGUC